AACCUGGUUGAUCCUGCCAGUAGUCAUAUGUUUGUCUCAAAGAUUAAGCCAUGCAUGUCUCAGUACAAGUUUUUCACAAACGAAACUGCGGAUGGCUCAUUAAAUCAGUCAUGGUUCCUUGGAACGAGUUGCCCUACAUGGAUAACUGUGGUAAUUCUAGAGCUAAUACAUGCCACCAAGCGCUGACCUUACGGAAAGCGUGCUUUUAUUAGGAACAAGACCAACCUGGGCUUGCCCGGCUUUGUUGGUGAACUCUGGAUAGCUUUGCAGAUCGCACGGUCAUCGUACCGGCGACAAAUCCUUCAAACGUCUGACCUAUCAACUUUCGAUGGUACUUUAUGCGCCUACCAUGGUCGUAACGGGUGACGGAGAAUCAGGGUUCGAUUCCGGAGAGGGAGCCUGAGAAAUGGCUACCACAUCCAAGGAAGGCAGCAGGCGCGCAAAUUACCCACUCUCGACACGGGGAGGUAGUGACGAAAAAUAACAAUGUACGGACUUUUACAAGUCGCGUCAUCUGGAAUGAGAACAAUUUAAAUCCCUUAUCGAGGAUCAAUUGGAGGGCAAGUCUGGU
rnacentral:rRNA from 1 species